UACAGAGGGUGCGAGCGUUAAUCGGAAUUACUGGGCGUAAAGCGCACGUAGGUGGCGACGUAAGUCGGGUGUGAAAGCCCCGGGCUCAACCUGGGAAUUGCAUUCGAGACUGCAUUGCUGGAGUACGGAAGAGGAGGGCGGAAUUCCCGGUGUAGCGGUGAAAUGCGUAGAGAUGCGGAGGAAUACCAGUGGCGAAGGCGGCCUCCUGGGUCUCAACUGACGCUGAAGCGCGAAAGCAUGGGGAGCGAACGGG
rnacentral:rRNA from 1 species